GGGAGAAAGCUGUCGUGCAGGUGUGGUAUUUGCUGCUGUUGUAAGCUUGUGUUUUUGUGUCUAGACAUAGCAGGCUAAAGUUUAUUUGUCAUUUAUCUUGUGGUUGGGUUCAUUGGAUUACAGUGCUUGCUUUCGUAACUCUUUUUUCUAGUGUUUCUGUCCGGUUAUCAUGAAAGCCCCAGAAGCAUAGGAGAAGCUGCUUCCUCCCCUUCUCUCUCUCUCUCUCUC
rnacentral:misc_RNA from 1 species